rnacentral:rRNA from 1 species
GACGAACGCUGGCGGCGUGCUUAACACAUGCAAGUGGAGCGACGAACCAGGGCUUGCCCUGGGGCAAAGCCGCGAACGGGUGAGUAACACGUGGGUAACCUGCCCCGAAGACCGGGACAACCCGAGGAAACUCGGGCUAGUACCGGAUGUGUCUCCCGAGCACAAGCUCGGUGGGCAAAGGAAGCUUCGGCCUCCGCUUCGGGAGGGGCCCGCGGCCCAUUAGCUAGUCGGUGAGGUAACGGCUCACCGAGGCAACGAUGGGUAGCUGGUCUGAGAGGACGAUCAGCCACACUGGGACUGAGACACGGCCCAGACUCCUACGGGAGGCAGCAGUGGGGAAUAUUGGACAAUGGGCGGAAGCCUGAUCCAGCCAUGCCGCGUGUGCGAAGAAGGCCUUUUGGUUGUAAAGCACUUUAAGCGAGGAGGAGGCUACUAGUAUUAACACUACUGGAUAGUGGACGUUACUCGCAGAAUAAGCACCGGCUAACUCUGUGCCAGCCGCCGCCGUAACAC